GAUGAACGCUGGCGGCGUGCUUAACACAUGCAAGUCGAACGGAAAGGCCCAAGCUUGCUUGGGUACUCGAUUGGCGAACGGGUGAGUAACACGUGGGUGAUCUGCCCUGCACUUCGGGAGAAGCCUGGGAAACUGGGGCUAAUACAGGAUAGGACCACUUCUAGGAUGGGGUGGAGGAAAGUAUUUUCGGUGUGGGAUCAGCUCGCGGCCGAUCAGCGUGUUGGUGGGGUCAUGGCCUACCAAGGCGUCGACGGGGAGCCGGCCUGCUAGGGUGUACGGCCACACUGGGCCUCUGCUGCGGCCCAGACUCGUACGGGUGGCAGCAGUGGCGAAUAUUUCACAAUGGGCGCCCGCCUGAUGCAGCGAGGCCUCGUGGGCGUUGACGGCUUUCGUGUUGUAAGCACCUUUGUCUAGGGAAGAAGCGUUUUUGUGACGGUACCUGGACAGGAAGCACCGGCUAACUACGUG
rnacentral:rRNA from 1 species